rnacentral:rRNA from 1 species
UCUACUCAGUGCUUUGGAUGUCAAAUUGAAGAAAUUCAACCAAGUGUGGGUAAAUGGUGGGAGUAACUAUGACUCUCUUAAGGUAGCCAAAUGCCUCGUCAUCUAAUUAGUGACAUGCAUGAAUGGAUUAACGUGAUUCCUACUAUCCCUGUCUACUAUCCAGCGAAACCACAGCCCAGGGAACGGGCUUGGAAAAAUCAAUGGGGAAAGAAGACCCUCUUGAGCUUAACUCUACUCCGACUUUGUGAAAUGACUUGAGAGGUGUUGUAUAAGUGGGAGCCGAAAGCCAAAAGUGAAAUUCCACUAAUUUUAACAUUAUUUUACUUAUUCCGUGUAUCUGAAGCAGGGCACUGUCCCUCUUUUUAGACCCAAGGCUCGCUCUUCGGGUCGAUCCAGGUGGAAGACAUUGUCAGGUGGGGAGUUUGGUUGGGGCGGCAUAUCUUUUAAAAGAUAACGCAGGUGUCCUAAGAUGAUCUCAAAGAUAAUAGAAAUAUCGUGUGGAAUAGAAAGGUAAGAGCUCGUUUGAUUCUAAUUUCUAGUACGAAUACGAACCAUGAAAGUGUCGCCUAACAAUCCUUUAGACCUUCGAAAUUUAAAGCUAUAGGUGUCAAAAAAGUGUUACCACAGGGAUAACUGGCCUGUUUCAGCCAAGCGUUCAUAGCGACGUUGCUUGUUCAUCCUUUGAUGUCGGCUCGUCCUAUCAUUAUGAAGCAGAAUUCACCAAGUGUUGGAAUGUUCACCAACCAAUAGAGAACAUGAGCUGGGUUUAGACCGUCGUGAGACAGGUUAGUUUUACCCUACUUGUGACAGUGUCGCAGUAGUAAUUCAACCUAGUACGAGAAGAAACGUUGAUUCACAUAAUUUGUAAUCGCACUAGGUUGAAAAUCCAGUGGUGCAAAGCUACCAUGUGCUAGAUUAUGACUGAACGCCUCUAAGUCAGAAUCCGG